rnacentral:lncRNA from 1 species
AAUGAUGAGAUAUGGAAGAUAAUCUUGAUUCCCCUCUAUGUCACUGAUAUCUGAACUACUUUACCUCGCUGUAUGGUCAAGUUCAACCUCCUGGGAAAUCAUUAAGAGGACAAUUUAAGUAUGACCAUUUGGUGCUCGAGGGUAGUAGAAAAGAUCAAGAACUGCCCUAUCAACUCAGGAGGAAUUAAGGAAAAAUGGAGAUGCUAGAGACACUCUGCUUAGUAAUUCCCCUAGCUUUAGUAAUAUGUAGGAGUCCAACCUCACUCUUUAGGCAUUACAGAAUAACUCUUUAGAUGACCCUCUGUUAAUGUACACAAUGUGGGCGUGAGCCUGUAACAUUAUACCUGCUCCUUGGUCUUGCCCUUUCUUUUUGGUUUAUCUGAUAUCAAAUGCAUCUUCAAGUUUUACUCUGACCAAUCUUUGUUUAUGUUUGUUGUGUUAACUUUUAAAUUAUUAAUUUCUUAUUUUAUGUUAUGUGUGGACCAAAAAAAGAAAGCCUUUCAUCACUGCUCUUUCCUUUUGGACUGGAGGAGUUGACAGGAGUUGUGUUACAACAAUGUUCAGUUGCUCUUAGAAGGGAGCUGGGGCAGAUAUAGAGACUGCAUUUUUUAUUUGCAUGGGCCAUUUGCAAAGACUGGAGAGUGACCUUAGUAAUGCAAGGUGCUAAGGUAUUUGCCAGCUUUUAAAAAAUAUAAUUAUUAUUUCUUUUUAUUUUAAAUAAAUAUUGAUUCCUUAUUUCAUUUUGGACUUAUAAUUGUGCAGUCAUUAUCUUAAAGGGGUACUUUAAGUUUUGGUGCACCCCUGAGUUGGGGAAGACAUAGGUACGAAGAGAGGCAAACAAAGUUUAGCCCUUUCAGAGUCCUAGUAGGAGAUACCAGAGGCACGCUUCUAGCUGAUAAAAAGUUACUUUGGGAGACUGACCUGAGAAAACAUUUGUAAGGUUGAUGUCAGAGAAUGUUUUUGCCUAUGUUCUCUUCCAGGAGUUUGAUGGCGUCUUGUCUUAUAUUUAAGUCUUUCAGCCAUUUUGAGUUUAUAUUCAUGCAUGGUGUCAGGGUGUGUUCUAGUUUCAUUGAUUUACAUGAAGCUGUCCAGGUUUCCCAGCAAUGCUUGCUGAAAAGACUGUCUUUUUCCCAUUUUGUUCUUGCCUCCUUUGUCAUACUGAGUAAAGUAAGUCAGAAAGAGAAACACAAAUACCAUAUGAUAUCAUGUAUAUCUGGAAUUUAAUAUAAGGCACAAAUGAACCUUUCCACAGAAAAGAAAAUCAUGGACUUGCAGAAUAGACUUGUGGUUGCCAAGGGGGAGGGGGAGUGGGGGAGCUUGGGGUUAACAGAUACAAACUAUUGCCUUUGGAAUGGAUUAGCAAUGAGAUCCUGCUGUGUAGCACUGGGAACUAUGUCUAGUCACUUAUGAUGGAGCAUGAUA